GUCUCUUGUAGAACUAUGACACAACAGAAUCAAAGCUACGGAGAGAAUUUGAGGUGUAUGGACCUAUCAAAAGGAUUCACAUGGUCUACAGCAAGCGGUCUGGGAAGCCUCGAGGCUAUGCCUUCAUUGAGUACGAGCACGAGCGGGACAUGCACUCCACCACGCAGCUGGCUUGCAGCUGAUGCUAACGCUCCCCUUACAACAUCUCAUUUUAUGGUUGGUAUAAGGGUUUGUAUCAUGGGUAAGAUCACUCGCCACAGCACACCAGCCUAGCUUAGCCAGGCAGCUUAGGAGCAGAAAGGCCCCCCUCCCUGAACCCCUCCUCUGACCC